CUUUUAGUUAUUUUAAUAAAAAAGGCGAAAUUGCCAAAUAGUGGAAAUUCUGGGCUCGGUUCAUCAGGGUUUUUUUGGGGAGACAGACUUGCUCAAUCCCUUACCUUCUCUGCAACAUCCCAAGCUUUCAUUCAAAAGAUCUUCUCCUUCUGUCUCUGCAACUGCUCAGAUCCCAUCCACCCAAACCCACCUCCCCACCGAGAUCGAGAUCGAAUUGGACUGGCGACUUUUUAUUUUUUAUUUUUUUUUAAAUGUUGUAUUCUGGGAAUUUGUUAUGAUUACUUUUUCAGCUUUCGAUUUGCUCAUAAUCUUUAAGCUUCACUAUUUGUCACCAUUUUAUCCUAAACUAGUGAGAUGAAAGGAUUGAGUAUUUUUAUCCCCUAACUUUAUCCAAUUGAUCCUUGAUGCCAAUUCAGAAUUUCUUGUUCCCAGAUUUUAUCUAGCCUUGAAAGUAGAAUCCUAGACUCUUCUUCUGUGAGGGGAUUAGAUUGAUUUUUAUCCCCCCUUUUUUUUCAAAAAAAAUUGUCAACAUCCAUGUCAGCACUAGGUGCCUAAGCGGUGCCAUGAGAAAAGGAUUUUGAAAAUGGGGAUCAGUAAAAUAGAAAUAAACUUGAGGAGGUUGCUUGCUGCUGCAUCUCAUCAACAAAAUCAAGCAAAGCUUAUACAUGUACGUCUACGGAUCUUUCAACUCAAACUGUUGAUUUGGGAAUGGUUUGUGUGCUCUAUCU